UGGCGAAUACCAAGGACAAUGUUACAGGAGAAAUGUGGUGAGCAGGGUGAGAGUAUGAUGAGCCAAGUAUAGAGAUGGAUCGGCUAAACCGAGAGAAGUUACACGAAACAAUGAAGUUGAUGGAUGAGAAGCACACUACGUCAGACUUCAAGCACAAACACAGGCAGUGGAAGUGAUGUCCAUGGCAGUGGAUGGAUAUGCGAUCUAUGGAGAUAUGGAAACGAAAGCUAUGCUUAGGAGGUGGCUACAACUCAGGCAGCCUUCCAUACAAGGAAGGAAGUUGUAGGGAAAGAUUUAAGCUAGGAAUGACUUUCAGAAGGAGAGAUGGCUGAAGCAAAUCUCAGCAGAAAUUCUCAUUUAUCUAAAAGUGAUUUUACAUGUGUUGCAAGAUGGAUUUAUAGGAAAUCCAAUGAGCUAUUGUGGUGUAGAUGGAUUCCGAGAGAAAUGGAUCUCCAUCCACGUGUCAAUGCAAGGAAAAUGUGUUGGCAUCUAGAAGCCUUAUUUACAAUGUGUGAAAAAUAAGAAACACGUGAUCUGAUGCUGAAAAGGAGAGACUUGACCGGGGGUGUGUUUAGCAAAGGAGGUUGUGCCACUAGCAACUUUAGCACUCAUGUGGACAGUUUUACCCCUUCUCUUGGUGUCUCCAAAUUCCACUUAAAAUUGUAUGAAGAGAACUUGCCUAUUUGGAUCCAUGUCCUCAAGCUCUUCUUGGAGUCUUCUAACCAUGCUUCUAGUAAUGGGUCCAUGACCCAAGUCAUCAUCCCCUCCCCCCUGGAAAGGAUUUGCCCUCAAAUCUGAUAGUUUGCUUGAGGACUUAUUUUUGUAGACUCCAUACAAGUUCCUCCUGGGUCAAAGAUCAAUCUACAAUAAGCAUCAAACAUAUUUCUAAUUAGUUUUCUAUGACCCAACAAGAUAUAUAAUAGAAAGUGUUUUGAAGAAAGUUUCUUAAUUUUAAAAUUUUCAGGUUUAAUACAAUAAAGAAACCUUUCUUUAUUUUUAUUUAUAUCUGGAGUUAGGGGUAACCAUAAAGGUAACCCUAACCGAAGUUGUGAAUUGCCAUGUGUUGAAAGUUUUAGCAUUUUGGAAGAUGACAUGGCAAAUUCUAGGAGAGAAAAGCAAAAAUUUGAAUUUUGACAAAUAAAUGGAUAAAAGUGAAAUGAUAGAAAACCUCCCCUUAAUAGUUUUGAUUCCAUUGUUGUUGGUGGCUAUAUUGCUCUUAGUUGCUUUUGUUCACUUUCUUCCAUUUCUUCUUUGUCUUUUCUUUCCUUUUCUUUUAUUCUCUCCUCCUCUUUUCUUCUCUCUUCUUUUCUCUCUUAUUCCUCUCUUUUUCUUCUCUCUUCUUCUAUCUCUUCUUCCUCUCUUUUUCUUCUCUCUUCUUCUCUUUCUUUUUCUUUUUCAUCCCUUUCCUUGUUAAGGUGCAUUUGUGCUUGAUCCUUCGCCACUUGUGAUGAUGAAAGAGGAUGAAGUACAAAUUUCUUCUCAUGAUGAUGCACAGUUAUUGUAUUGGUAAGACCAUUAUGAAUUAUUUUAUGAUCAAAUUGCCAUGGUCUUCCCAAUAACACAUGACAAGUUUCCAUUGGAACUACAUCACAUAAAACUUUGUUUUUAAAAUUGCCAAUAGAAAUUGUUACUGUGACUUGAUCUUUGACUGUGAUAUUCCAUCUUUAUUGAUCCAAUGUAUUUUAUAAGGUUUAGGAUGGGAUUGCACAACAAGAUUUAUUUUUUCAACCAAUCUAGUGCUACAACAAUUAGAGCACGAACCACUAUCAACAAUGAGAGAACAAGUGUUAUUUAGAAUUUGACACCUUGUGUGAAAAAGAGUCUCUCUUUGUGAUAGAUGUUCUUCACUGGAUUGAUUAUCAAAUAUUUUUUUGAUCAUGAGAAGUUGCCCUUCACAAGGAUAGACUUCCUCAGUAGUGGAUUUUUCUUGAUCACUCUCAUUCUCACUAUUGGAGGAUUCACUACUAUAACUGUCAAUGCCCCUCAAUAUGAUAGUUCUUUUGGUGGGACAUUGUGCAGCUAUAUGUCCUCUUCCUAGACAUUUAAAACACUUGAUCUCACUAGUGCGAGUGUGUGAAGAGGAUUCUUGUUUAGGUUUCUCAUCAAUUUUGGCUAGAGGAUUGAAAGGCUCCUUUUCUUUUAGACUUUUUCUUUCAAAAGAAGGUUGAACUUGAGCUCUCUUAAGAGAGGUUUUUCUCAAAUUUUGUUGCUCUACCUUGAUACACAUUUGGACAAGACUAUCCAAAUCUAUAUAAGGUAGUAAUUCAACCUUAUCUCUCAUUUCAUAAUUAAGCCCACUCAAAAAUCUAGCCAUUGUGAGUUCAUCUGUUUCCUCAAUUCUUGCCCUCAUCAUAUACAACUCCAUCUUUUGUCUAUAUUGUUCUACAUACAUAGAAUUUUGUUGGAGUCUUUGGAGUUUAUCCAUAAGCUCUCUAUGGUAAUAUGAUGGAAUAUGUCUCCUCCUAAGGGCAGUGAUCAAGUCAUUCCAAUAUUGUAUUGGAGGAUUUUGGUGGCGCCUUCUUUCUUCCACUAUGGCAGUCCACCAAUACAUGGCAUACCCUUGAAAGCCUAGGGUAGCUAGAGGAACCUUCCUUUCUUCACUAACUUGGUGGCAAGCAAAAAGUUGCUCCACCUUUAUUUGCCAAUCUAAGAAGGCCUCUACAUCAUCCUUUCCAUGGAAAUGAGGCAAGUUAAUAUUGACUUCUCUAGGGAGAGGAGGUUCUUGAAUUUCCCUCCUAUGUCUUCUAAAAGAAGAAUACUCUCCAUCAUAAUCUCCCAUUCUAAAAUUCUUUACCUCAUGGUGAGAAUCUUCACUCCUACUUCCCCUCAUUCUCCCUUGCUCAUCUCUCAUGACUCUCAACUCAUCUUGAAUUAUGGUGAUUUGCCUUUCCCUAUCUUGUUGAGCAUAAUCCAUCUUUCUUUCAGUAUCAAUUCUCCAUUGAGUUAGCUCUCUAAAUUGUUUUGAAAUAUCUUUGAGAGUAACUUGUUCCUCAGAAUCACUAACUCUUGGAGAUUGAUGUUUUGACAUUUUGUGAUUCUAAAAGUUUUCUUGUGUUACAAAUUACUUAGAUUUCACCUAAGAACAAAUUCCAGGUAAGGGAGGUGAACCACUAGGGUUGCUUAAGUACCAAGCCUUUUCCUUGCCAAAAAUGUUCUAGGCUACUUACUUAGUAGUUCUUACCCAAGAUUACUUCUAAGAUCACAAAAGAAGACUCAAAAACAAAGCAAAGAAGUAGGACUCUAAAUUCGGACUCUAGAAGCGAUCCCUAGACGAAAAAUUGAAAGCAAUUGGUAAAUUGAAGGAAACUUAAAGACAAUGGAAAAGUAAAGGUGAGGUCUCCUAGGUGAGGCUUAGACUUUGGAUCUAAGACACACUCAUCGUCUACCAAUUUUUAGUUUAUGAGACUUUAAGUCAAGUUAGCAAAUGAGAGAAGAACACUUAUGAGCUCUUCCACCUCACUUGCUUGAAAUGGCCAACUUACAAAAAUUGAAGAAAGAAACAAAAUACAAGGUGAAGAACACAAAGAAAUGAAAAUAGAGAAUAAUAAGGAAGUUUUAAUGUGGCAGCUUUGGUUGCUCUCAAUCAAAAUCUGAUGCAACAAUUAGCAUCUCACAAGGCUCACAGCUGCAAAGUGGAGUUUCUCUGCUGAGACAGUGAUCACACAGGAAUUCUGCUGUCACACUGCAAUGAUUUCACUAGCUGCAGCAGCACCAUUUCUCCAUUCCCGUCAGCCUUUCCUUGUGGCUUGUGUAAUCAAUCUCCUAACUUCCUUUGAUGCUUCCUUGCAUGUAUGGAGUCUGAGUUAAAGCACACCUACACAGCAGUCCAAUUCAGAACUUACACUGCAUCAUGCUACUGCCCGUAAUUACAACACAGACUGACACCAACACAUAACCUUUUAUCAAACAGGUUGUGUGCAAGAGUUCAAAAAAAAAAUUAACAUCAAAAAAUUAAGCAGGUUUUAAUCACGGAAGCACUUCAAAAGGAUCCUAGGAAUAGUUCUAGAUUAGAUUGGACGGACUUCAAUGAAUAACAGCAAGCAAUUGGACCAGAAAAGCAGUUUUCGAAAAAUAUCACAAAUUGUUUGUGAUAAUGCUUCAAAGAGCAGUCAACAUUAUGUAGAAUUGGUUAAUUCAGUCUCGGCAAUAACACUUUAUUGGAUGCAUUGGUUCUUUCAGCUUUUUAAUUUGACUUUCUUAUUGUUUGAAUCUUCUUAAUGAUAUUUUACAGAACCAAGCUUUUACUACAUCCCAAAAUUAACCGAUCAACCAAAUUCAAUAUGGCAAACAGAAUGUGUUACUGCACUACUACGGUCACAACAAAAAUUGAGUCAAAAUUUGGCAAGUCACAUAGGCAUUUUGCACAUAACAGCAAUUGGUCAGCUUAGACAGCUUCAAACAUGUUUGAAUGAUUAAAACAAACUUGUUUGAGCACAAUUUCAGUUAAAAUUCAUGGCAUAUCAAAAUUGGAGUAUGGCAGUUCUGGUUUAAGUCAUUUUAAGCAACUAUGACAGCCAAAUUUUGAAAACAAAUGUAAUUCAACUCAAACACAACAAGAGUGAACUUAGGACAAUCAAAGAAAAUUGCUCAAAGUGGCAGGAAAUGAUUUAGAUGGCUGGAUAUGAUCUAAAGUACUUUAGCCAGUUUUACACGCAGAAAGGAAUCAACUAAGUCAAGUGCAGAUCGGUUAACUGCAAGUAUCAAAGUAUUCUGACUUUGCACACUCAUUUCAUGCCUAAAACAAUUUUCAUUAUGGAACAACUUUCAUGUAACACGAGAAUUAUGUAGACACAAGUCACUUAACAGUUCCAAACAAUGAAACAGUACACAUAACAAUUGUAGGCAAUGAAACAGUACCACUGAAUUUCAAAAAUAGAUGCAGUGUGAUCUGUUAUGGAUCUACUAAAUUCUCAAAGAUUAUCACCAAUUCAUACACAUGAGCUCAUCAUCUCAAUUGUCAUCGCUCAUAUAUUGUGUAGAGACAUGUAUCUCAUACAGAUUUUCAGUACAAACGCAGAUCACAUGGUUUUCAACCAGAUUUUAAACAAAAAUGGAGUUGCACAUGACAUAUGACAUAACAGGAUGGAUGCUCAAAUUAAAAAUGACUCAACCAAAAAUUUCAACCGAUUAAAAUGAACAGACUCAAUCAAUUAAAAAAAAAUAGCACGGUUCAAGACUCAAAGAUCCUAAAAAUGUCAAAACCAAUGAAACAGUAACAGGAAUCAACAGAGACAGUGAAGGAAUGGUGGUGACAGAAUUUAAAUUGCAGAAAGAUGAACUUAUCUCACGGCUCCAGCAUCCUUGCUCUGAAUACCACUUGAUGAGCCAAGUAUGGAGAUGGGUCGGCUGCACCGAGAGAAGUUCCACGAAACAGUGAAGUUGAUGGAUGAGAAGCACACUACGUCAGACUUCAAAUAGAAACACAGGCAGCGGAAGUGAUGUCCAUGGCAGUGGAUGGAUAUGCAAUCUAUGGAGAUAUGGAAACGGAAGCUAUGCUUAGGAGGUGGCUACAACUCAGGCAGCCUUCCAUACAAGGAAGGAAGUUGUAGGGAAAGAUUUAAGCUAGGAAUGACUUUCAGAAGGAGAGAUGGCUGAAG
rnacentral:lncRNA from 1 species